rnacentral:rRNA from 1 species
GACGAACGCUGGCGGCGUGCUUAACACAUGCAAGUCGAACGAAGUGGCACACGGGUGAGUAACGCGUAAUCCACCUGCCCUUCAGAGGGGGACACCAGUUGGAAACGACUGCUAAUACCGCAUACUGAAGUAGGUGAUUGCGUUUGAUUAGCUAGUUGGAGGGGUAACGGCCCACCAAGGCGAUGAUCAGUAGCCGGUCUGAGAGGAUGAACGGCCAAAAUGGGACUGAGACACGGCCCAGACUCCUACGGGAGGCAGCAGUGGGGAAUCUUCCGCAAUGGACGGAAGUCUGACGGAGCAACGCCGCGUGAGUGAUGACGGCCUUCGGGUUGUAAAGCUCUGUUAAUCGGGACGCGGUACCGGAAGAGAAAGCCACGGCUAACUACGUGCCAGCAGCCGCGGUAAUUC